rnacentral:rRNA from 1 species
CGACUCCAUGAAGCUGGAUUCGCUAGUAAUCGCGCAUCAGCCACGGCGCGGUGAAUACGUUCCCGGGCCUUGUACACACCGCCCGUCAAGCCAUGGAAGCCGGGAGUGCCUGAAGUGCGUGACCGCAAGGAGCGUCCUAAGGCAAUACCGGUGACUGGGGCUAAGUCGUAACAAGGUACC